CCCCCCACCAGCUGCAAGCACCUUCCCCCCCCAGCAAAGCGACAUGCAGCUUUCUCUUCCCUCCACGCCAGCUGGGAGCACCCCAAAACCCCGAUCCUUACCCCCUGCCCCUCAGCUACCAGCACUUCAUCUCUCCCUGCGACCUUGAUUUCCCAGCACCCCCUCCCCCAGCAUGCAGCCCGUGGCACCCCCUCCCCAGCAUAGUCCUCUUUCUCCAACCCCCGAGCUGGGAGCACACCCAGUACCUUCACCCCCAGCAGGAAAACCAUGUUCCCUCCCAGCCCAGAGCCAACUUCACUCUGCACCAGCUGGGAGCACCCUGCACCCCCGGUGCCCAUGCAGACAGCAUGCAGCUUCCUCCCCUAGCCCCCUGCAGCAGUGGGUGAUGUGGACUCAGGACUCUUCAGUUACGUGUCAUAUGCCUGACGCUGCUGAAGGUUGGGGACCCUCCUUUGGAACGUUUGGAAGCCAGGCUGUGUCUUUGGCUCCUGCGUUGUCCUUGGAAAGAGCAGGAGAGAGGCUGCUGGGCUGAAGGGACUCUGCAAAGAUGAAAGCUGGGUGAACUCUGAGGCGUCAGUACCUCUUUAAGAGCAAGGCAUGAUGGGGAAACCCUGCAAGGCAUAAAAGGGAGAGAAGGGAGUUGUGGGCUAGUUAGAGGAAUUAAUUUCGGUUAGGGCUUAUCUACACUAUGGCACUGUAGUUAUGCGCUGGAUCACCAUAAGAUAGACGCUUUCUACAGCAACAGAAGGGGCUUUUCACCUGUCUUAAUGUAGUCCACCUCCCCGAGCAGCGGGAGCUAGGUCAAUGAAAGCAUUCUUCUGUCGACGUAGCUGCAGCUACACUGGGAGUUAGGUCAGCAAAGUUAUGAGAAACUGCAGAACUGGAAUUAAU